AUUUCUCCACGCUGUUGGGAGUCCCUUGCUUAAUCCUCCCACUGACCACCCACUCCUUGCCUCCUGUCCCCUGGAAGCAAUCACUUCAAAUUCUUCUGGUUCUUAACUUCAGUGGACAGAGAUGGGGAACCAUGCAUGCCUGUUACUCUUGACAACCACAGAGCAGAAGGAGGCUCUGGGUCUGCAAAGCAAGCCUGCCUCCCUUUCUGAUGGCACCUGGAAGGCUCCCCUGGAGCUGGCACAGAGCUGAGGCCACUGCCAACGACAGGAUUCCAUUGUCAAGCUCGAGGGUUUUCCUACUUUUUAAGAGACUCCUAUUAAGUCUGGGGAGUCCUGCAGCUGCUGAGAGCCAUGACAAAAUCCAUUUUUUUUCUUUGAGGAGACCACAAUCUACGGAUCUCUUCAGCCUCCUGCGUCUCUUGCUUUCCAGGUGUUUCUCUAUGGUGUGCCUCCCCAGAAGCCUCCUUAGGCAGAGGAGCUGUACUCUCCUUCUUCCAAGGCCCCAGUUAUCCAUCAUGAGAUGGGAACCUGCUUUGGACACCUGCUCUUGCUCCAGAGGCUGGCCCUGGCUAUCUGGGGUGGGCCUGAACUCAAGAAGUGUUCGUUUUCUUCAGUCCAGAAGAAGGCUCCCAAGAGCUUUUUUUGUUGUUCUGGUGAUGGGGGAGGUAGUUGGGUGAAGAGAGAGCCAGGGGUUAAGAAGAUUCCUGCCCCCAUUCCAGAGAAGCAGGAGAAUUAGCCUAGGGUGAAAGUGAUGGGGGAAUAAGUACCGGGGAUCACCUGUACCUCAGGCUCUGCUAGGUCUUCUAUGAUGCUUUGUGACACAUGGGCCCAUUGGAGUCAGGACCAGUGGUGUGCAGGGCAGUGGGUGUUUGUCAAAGUACCUCCUCAAGAUGAUCACUCAAUAAAGCGACGCUUCUUCAUCUCAUGUUUUGUGCAAGGAGAAGUCAGAUGAAGUUGGAUGUGCCUUUGAUGUGAAACUGUAGAGGGACAUGCUGUGGAGGUCACCCAGACAGGGCCCUGAAAGACCUUGUUCUCUUGGUGAUUUCCUUUGUUUAGAGAUCCAGGUGAUUAAUUCAUUUCCUCAUGAUAGGCUUUUGUGUAUUUGGUGAGAUACUAUGUUUCCCUAUUAAAUGGAUAAGGUAAAGAACUCUA